GAAGGAACAGUGAGAACAAAAGCAUGGAGGUGCCAGAGAAAAUGGUCAAAGUGUUGCCAGAACUGGGCCUCUGCUCACUGGUGUGGAAUAGAAACAUGGAGACAAUUUUGGGUGAAGGAGAAAAAAUAGCUGUAUUGCUUUGCCAUGCAGAGGAGGGUCACAGCAGGCUACUGCCUCAAAAACUGUUGCCCCCCCCCCCCUUAGGAGAGAUUGGGAGGUGGUUUUAUGGUUUGGGGAGUGAAAAAUAGGGCUGUAGAUAAGGAUCAGGGUAGAGGCAAGCUUGCAUUGUUUUCAAAGCUGGUGUUCUGUGGUCUGGUGGUCCUCUUUCUGGAAGGAAGAAUGCUUCAUUAACAUCUUCCAUUUGUUGGGGAUUGUAGUUCUGAAGAAGAACUCUAAGAUAAUUGUUAUCUAUAUUCCUUGAGGAGGGACCAGGACCCUGCCCCAAGGCUGCACUAUUGUUUCUUGACUGCUCCUCCCUGGUCUUUGCAACCCCUCCCUUCCCUGAUUAGCAUCCUUUUGAACCUACCCUUUGGAACUCUUGGAGGCUGGCGUUUAUUCCCUAAGAACAAGAACCAGAAAGAGGGACACAGAAAGGCUUGUGUGCCCAGGAGCCCACAGGGCCUUGCUUGGUUUCGAAAGUGAAGUGAACAUUUGGCCCUGGCUGAAGAGCUGGAGAUGAUGUUGGGGAGGCGAGUGGGGACCAAAUACUGAUGAACUUUGUAUACUCAGUUAGAGUAUGGCUUUCUAGCCCAGGGUGAUAGCCCUUUACUGAGGGCUUCUCCAUAAAUUAUCAAUAACCACGUGGUCCCUGUUCACAUGCGUGUCUGUUUGACUUGUACGCAUUCUCAGUGGUCAUUAUGAGAUAACUGGGGACGCUGGUCGUUUGAGUCUUCACUCUACCAUUUACAUCCCUGGGAUCUGGGGUGGGGGUGGGGGGCAGCAGGCAGCAAACAUUUUCGAACCUUUGUUUCCCUGUCUCUAAAUCAUAAUCAGCUUCGCUGAAUGUUGGCAGGAACAAUAUGAAUAUGAAGUAAGAACAUAUACUUUGUAUAGGUGAAGUUUAUGGGACCUCUAGAGUUCUAGAGUCAGUCUGUAGUUAAAGAGUUGCUUUUUACAAAGACUGGGUGAUUCAUUACCAGAAUGGGAGGUGGGAGGAUAACAGUUUCCUCCAGAUAUUAGGUCAGACUUCUCACUAGGUGUGAUCUUGUGAUCUCACUAGGUGUGAUCACUUAACCUCUUUGAGCAGCAGUUCCUCCUAGAAAAAGAAGACAAAUCUUCCCACCUGUAAGGAUUAUAGUGAAGACAAUUAAAUGAGAUAUUUGAUGUAAAGUGUUUGACAGUUAGCAAGGGUUCGAUAAAUGGUGACUAUUGUUGUUUUUAUUCCUGCAAAGAAAGGAGUUAGUAUUCUAGUGUUGAGUGCCAGAAGAGUGGGGCACAGAGCAUAAGAGGUCUUUAGAUACUCUGCUGCUUCUUCUGUUACUCGCUACCUGUCCCCCCAGCUCCCCUCAUGUCCUGUCUUCUUUGCCUCUCAAGGUGGAGUGAAAUAGGAUGUCUCGUAAAUGUGGCACAGCCUUUGCCAUAGCCCCCUCAGACGUGCCCUUCUCAUGCUCUGACAUAUUAAUCAAAACAUGCACAACUGAGGGGGGCUGGUUGAAUUUUCUAACUUUUUCUCCCCUCGCACAUGGGGAUGGUGCCAACUCUGCCUGGUGAACUCAGCCCAGGCAGAUUGGAGGAGCUGGCAUUGAUGGGAGAGGGCUCAGUUACCUAGGAAACAUUUACCUAGGCUGAUGACAGAGGGGCUGCUACCACUACCUAACACAUGCAGACAUGUAUCAAGUUACAGGGGAGAUGGAAAGAAAUAAUUUUCUCUUGAAAUGGGGUAGAUGCAGGUGUUAAUUUCUUUUGAAUGGCAGCUAAUUUUCUGUUUUCAGAGGAGCAGGCUAAAGCUUAAACUUUAACUUCUGGCUGCAAAUACUCAGUUUGUGAACCUGGCAAAACCUCUUUUAAGAAAAAAAGCAAUCCUGGCACUGGACUGUUAAGCUUUCUCCUAGCAGUUUAUUGCAUUUAUUUUACUGCUUUUGGGGAUUAGAAAAUAGUCUCUGGAGGCCAUUUCUUUAAUGACUUGGAAUAUUAAUGUGGAAAAUUUGCUUGUUGGACAAUAUAGUGAGUACUAUAGCUUUGUCUCUAAUUGGCUAUUGGGGCUUUCACUCCCUGAAGUCUUUUUCUAAAAAAUGUUUUCUUUAUUGUGAAAGACAGUGCACAUUAAGAGGAGUGCAUAAAACGAAUGGCCUAAUGAUUUAUCAUAAAGUGAAUAUGUUUAUGAUUGUUACUGAUACUGUGGUGUUCCAGAAGCACUCCUCCUAUUACCUUCUCUCACUUCUUCCAAGAAGGUCACUGCUUAACUUCAUAAAGCAAAGCAAAGAAAUUAUUACUAGAAGUUUUGUCACCUAAGCAUAUAUUUCUAAGCACUGUGGUUUAGUUUUGUUUCGGUUUUGAAUUUCAUAUAGAUGGAGUGAUACAGUAAAAUACUGUUUUAUGUUUGGGUUCCCCCCUCCCAACAUUAUGUAUCUGAGGUUCUUCCUUGUGCUGUGUAGCUGUUGCCUUUUAGUAGCUGAAUAUACUACUGUUUAUCCACUUGACCAUGAUGGGCACUUGGGAUGUGUCUAGGUUUUAGUUAUUAUAAAUAACGAUGUUGUGAACAUUCUUGCCCAUGUCUCUUGAAGUGUAUAUGCAUGUGUUUUGGUUGGUUGGAAUUGUUGGGACAUAGCAUGUACUAUAUGUAUCUUUGGCCUUAGUGGCAUUAAAUAAUAAUUUUUUAAAAAAGUAAAAUCAUUACUUUCAUACAAGUAUAAAACGAACAGGCUAAAGAUUUCAUUUGAUUCAUCAGUUAAUGAGAGAACCAAUGGGAUGUUACAACUGGUUCAAGGGAGGAUUGAAAGACCCCGACAUGUGCAGGCAACAGGAGAUGCCAAAAUGCAUUUGAAUAGAUGUAAAAUGAGUCUAUCCAUGAUGCAGUUAUCCGUUGUAUUCUAUCAGACACAAUUCUUUUGCCUUUAUAUCGAUAAGAAGCAUUUGCAUUAUUAUCAGUUUUCUACGCCUUAAGUAGUUGUAGAUAGCUCAAAGACAAUGAAAAGCAGGAUAACAUGGAAGAGCGAACUAGCCUGCGGAUUCAGUACUCUUUUUUUGUCCCAUUCAAAGUCUUUCGCAGUGUUUCCUGGCAGUAGGUAUUACCUAAAUGUUUUUUCCAAAUGAUUGUUUCCGAUUAUUUUCCCACUAGAAGUAUACUGGAAUUCCUAUUGCUCCAUAUCCUUGACAGUAGUUGGUAUUGUCGGACAUCUCAUUUUUUCCAUUUGGGUAGAUAUUCAGUGAUAUCUCUUUGUGAUCUUAAUUUACAUUUCCCUGAUAAGAAUAAGGUUAAGCCUCUUUUCACCUGUUGAUUAACUAUUUGAAUAUCCCCUUAUGUGAACUGUUGUUCUAUUCUUUUUUUCUAUUUAGAAAAAUUGGAUCACCUGUCUUUUUCCUUUUUUAUUUAGUAGAGCUUCUUUAUAUAUAUAUACACAUAUAUAUAUAUAUUCUGUACAUUAAUGUAUGUUUUCCAGUUGUAUGUAUUGCAGAGGUCUCCUCACCAUUUCUUGCCUUUUCAUUCUCUUAUUAGUGUGCUUUGAUGAAUAAAACAAUUUUAAUAGUCUCAUUUAUUAGUCCUAUUUAUAGUUAAUAAUUUAAAAAAAAAUCCUUAAGAUGCUUUUGAUUACCUUGAUUUCUUGAAAAUAUUUUAGUAUAUUAACUCUUUGAAAUGAUAUCAUUUUGCCCUUCAACUUUGGAUUUCACAACUGUUAGGUUUGCCGAGGGAGGAAUGUGCGAGGUCAAGUUAGUAAAGCAGGAGAGAUUUAUUAAGACAUCAGAGGGGGACUGGCUGAGCUCAAGAUGGUGCCAGCUCCAACUGUGAGGCGAUGCCAGGCUUAGAAAGGAUCUGUGGUGGGAAUCCAUGGCUGGAAUAAUGAAGAAGGAGGAAGAAGGGGGAGGGGAUGAUUAAGGGAGGAGUAGGGGGAUCUAGUCCCAUGACGGAGGGCAGUUAAUCCUUGUAGGUGGUUAAUCUAGACAAGCAGUUGUUUUCUGCAGGCCGUUGUUUCUUGCUACCCAACUUGAGCAUCCAUAUUCCAGGAAAGGGUAUGGAUCUUGUGCUGGGCCUUACCUAUGUCCACAGCAGGUCACCAAGGUGAACAGCCCCAUUACGAGAUGGGGGCGGGUCUGUCUCCAUCCUCCUGAGAACCUAUCAAAAACUACUUUGAUCCCACUCCUGGGCAACUAUUGAGAGAAAGCCAUGACACGAAAAGACACAUGUAUGCCAAAGUUCAAUGCAGCACUAGAUACAAUAGCCAAGACAUGGAAGCAACCUAAAUGUCCAUGGACAGAAGAGUGGAUAAAGAAGAUGUGGUACAUAUACACAGUGGAAUAUUACUCAACCAUAAAAAGGAAAGAAAUAAUGGCAUUUGCAGCAACAUGGAUGGACCCAGAAAUUAUCAUGCUAAGUGAAGUUAGUCAGACAGUGAGAGACCAACAACAUAUGCUAUCACUUAUAUGUGGAAU
rnacentral:lncRNA from 1 species